AGCAUUAAUAGCUUUAAUUAUUUAUACAGUUACAUCUUCUGAAGCCCCGAAGGCUGAAUUCUUCCCUUGCUAGCAUUUCCCAGCCUAGUUGCCACUUAGGAAGGAAGUCCAUGGUUCUGGCUUCUGAUCUGACCAUUACCCAGGGAAAAGCUUGGGAUUGACAGUACUGAAUACAAACUGCAAAGCCGUACAGAAGUGGUACAUUGUAUUACAUAUUUUUACUUAAACUUCUGUAGUUGAGCUGUUGUCUGCUGGAGCUCUUCAUGUGUUCUGAAGCAUGAUAUGAUGGUAGCUGCCUUCAAGGGUAUAAAAAUAAGCCUCUGGUGUAACAAAGUACAUGUGAUCACUUCAGCUGAAGUGAGAAUGUAUAAAGCAGAAGGUACCUUAAGAAUUCUACUUCUUUGGUAUUAAUCAAACAAUGUAAAUGUCCUUUUUGACUAAGUCAUGAAGACCUCUACUGUAAGUACACAGACUUUAUUCUAAUUAGCUGCUUGGUCAAACUUGGCAUAGAUUGUAUGGUCAAGUGUGUAAUUAUUGUACAAAGUAGUUACGUAUGUGAAACCUGCAUGAGGAAACCAGGGCUGAAUCUCAGACUCACGAGGCAGAUGAGAUAGAAGCUGUUGAUACCAUUCAUCCAUGGUGCUUCCUCUAAGUCUUUGAGAACUAAUAGAUUGGAGUAACCAAGUAUUAACCUGUGUCUUCCUGACAAAACAAACGGGGGAGGUGUGUGUCUGUGAAGCUGGCUCAUCCUGAGCUAUAACAGCAGCAUUACGGGGCUUUAAAGUAGGACUCAAAAAAAACCCCCAAAACUCUACAACCAAGCCUUUGCAGAGUCUGAGGAGAGUGUCAGAGCUUGUGCAGAGGCUAUAUCUCCAGCUACCCCUCUGCACUGCUGACAGAGAAUUGAAAGUCAUUCCUUUGCAGUAGUCUUCCCUUGGUAGUUAGUUAGUAAAUCAAAGUCUAAAUCUUCUUAAAGCCCCUCAGAGUAACUGGCUGCUUGUUCUAUUGCUCAGGCAGUAGUUCAGAACUGCCCAGCAUGUGAUAAACAACUUGGGAGAGCAGGAUGCUUGUUGGUGUAUUUUAUGAGGCUUUGUAUUUGAAUGUUUAAAGGCUUGAACUGCAGGUUUACAGGCAGAAAAGACUUAAGGGGCAAGAGGUGCCUGGCUGUCAAACUGGAAGUAACAUGACCGGUGUAGCUUUGAUACAGGCUGAGCUGUUGUGCAGCUAUGUAAAUUUUUGCACACGCAGGCCUUAUACCUUUCUAGAAGCCUUGCUGCAUAACGCUUCCAUGCUUGCAUCAGCAUCUUAUAGUCUCUGUCAUGUGGAUCAAAAAAUGGUAAGGGAUAUCGAGGAAAGAAAAGCUUAACCUAGAUGCUGUGUUAAAAAUCUAGGGAUGAGUUCGCUUUCCAAUAAUUUUUCCAGAUUUAUUUGUGGAAAAAAAUAGAGUUAUAUAUUUGUCAGAAAAUAUCAAAGCAAAUCAUAAGUGCUGACAUGAACCUUUUUUUUCCCUAAGAAAAA
rnacentral:lncRNA from 1 species